rnacentral:rRNA from 1 species
UACGGAGGGUGCAAGCGUUAUCCGGAUUCACUGGGUUUAAAGGGUGCGUAGGUGGGUUGGUAAGUCAGUGGUGAAAGCCCCGGGCUCAACCUGGGAAUGGCGAUGGAUACUGGCUCGCUGGAGUGCGGCAGAGGGGAUGGAAUUCCGCGUGUAGCAGUGAAUGCGUAGAUAUGCGGAGGAACACCGAUGGCGAAGGCAAUCCCUGGCCUGCACUGACGCUCAUGCACGAAGCGUGGGAGCAACAGG